ACAGGAAGAGAAGACUUAAACGUAGUAAUAAUUGCAGAAAGCAUAUGCAAAAGAUAGAAACUUUCUUGAACUUCUUCUCCAUUGACUACUACUUUUUUUUUACAGCACAACAAAGAACAGCUUUUCUUUGUGUUUUUUCUUCAAGAUUUGCUUUGUAAAGCUUAUAUUUUUGCUUAAUUCAAAGUAAAGUUUUAAUCUUUGGUUCAAACUCUGCUCUUUCUUUCACAGCCUAUAAAGAUUGGUGCUUGCUUAAAGCUUGGAGAUUGUUGUGUACUUCCAGUUGCUGAAUCUAAGAACAUUGUGCGAAAGAGUAUUCAAAUCUCACCUCCCUGUGGGCCAAUGGAACAGGAUAGGCAACUAACCAAGGCAUCUUAGAAAACUAAUAGGAGCUCAACUUUUUUGCAAGUUGCUGUAAUUUCAAAGACAAGGACAGAAGUUGAUAUUUUAUGGCAGGAUGGAAGCGUGAGUUUUUAAGCUAAUUUUCUGUCAUUUUGAGAUUACGAAAUUUGGCAUUUGGUGAACUGAGCGGUGAUUUAUUACACUCCAAAUUUUGUGAAGCUCUCAAAUAUUAUCUUAUUGUACAUUUUUUGUCAACUUAGUUAUUAGUUGAGGGUAGAAUUCAUUA